AACGAACGUUGGCGGCAUGCCUAACACAUGCAAGUCGAACGAGACCUUCGGGUCUAGUGGCGCACGGGUGCGUAACGCGUGGGAAUCUGCCCUCAGGUACGGAAUAACUCAGGGAAACUUGAGCUAAUACCGUAUAAUGACUUCGGUCCAAAGAUUUAUCGCCUGGGGAUGAGCCCGCGUCGGAUUAGCUAGUUGGUGAGGUAAAGGCUCACCAAGGCGACGAUCCGUAGCUGGUCUGAGAGGAUGAUCAGCCACACUGGGACUGAGACACGGCCCAGACUCCUACGGGAGGCAGCAGUGGGGAAUAUUGGACAAUGGGCGCAAGCCUGAUCCAGCAAUGCCGCGUGAGUGAUGAAGGCCUUAGGGUUGUAAAGCUCUUUUACCCGGGAAGAUAUGACUGUACCGGGAGAAUAAGCCCCGGCUAACUCCGUGCCAGCAGCCGCGGUAAUACGGAGGGGGCUAGCGUUGUUCGGAAUUACUGGGCGUAAAGCGCACGUA
rnacentral:rRNA from 1 species